rnacentral:rRNA from 1 species
GAUGAACGCUGGCGGCGUGCCUAACACAUGCAAGUCGAACGAAGCAAUUAAGAUGAAGUUUUCGGAUGGAAUCUUGAUUGACUGAGUGGGCGGACGGGUGAGUAACGCGUGGAUAACCUGCCUCACACUGGGGGAUAACAGUUAGAAAUGACUGCUAAUACCGCAUAAGCGCACAGUGCCGCAUGGCAGUGUGUGAAAAACUCCGGUGGUGUGAGAUGGAUCCGCGUCUGAUUAGCCAGUUGGCGGGGUAACGGCCCACCAAAGCGACGAUCAGUAGCCGACCUGAGAGGGUGACCGGCCACAUUGGGACUGAGACACGGCCCAAA